GAUGAACGCUGGCGGCGUGCCUAACACAUGCAAGUCGAACGAGGCCCUUUGUAUUCGUACGAAGGUGUCCUAGUGGCGAACGGGUGAGUAACACGUUGGUGACCUGCCCCAAAGUGGGGGACAACUCCGGGAAACUGGAGCUAAUACCCCAUGUGUUCCAAGGAGUUAAAGGUCCUUGGAGAAAAGGAGUAAUCCGCUUUCGGGGGGGGCCUGCGGCCCAUCAGCUAGUUGGUAGGGUAAUGGCCUACCAAGGCUACGACGGGUAGGGGACCUGAGAGGGUGGCCCCCCACACUGGCACUGAAACACGGGCCAGACACCUACGGGUGGCAGCAGUGGGGAAUAUUGCCCAAUGGACGAAAGUCUGAGGCAGCAACGCCGCGUGCGCGAUGAAGGCCUUCGGGUUGUAAAGCGCUUUUCUGGGGGAAGAGGAAGGACGGUACCCCAGGAAUAAGUCUCGGCUAACUACGUG
rnacentral:rRNA from 1 species